rnacentral:rRNA from 1 species
CGCGUGAGGAACCUGCCUCAAAGAGGGGGACAACAGUUGGAAACGACUGCUAAUACCGCAUAAGCCCACGGUGCCGCAUGGCACAGAGGGAAAAGGAGCAAUCCGCUUUGAGAUGGCCUCGCGUCCGAUUAGCUAGUUGGUGAGGUAACGGCCCACCAAGGCGACGAUCGGUAGCCGGACUGAGAGGUUGAACGGCCACAUUGGGACUGAGACACGGCCCAGACUCCUACGGGAGGCAGCAGUGGGGAAUAUUGCACAAUGGGGGAAACCCUGAUGCAGCGACGCCGCGUGGAGGAAGAAGGUCUUCGGAUUGUAAACUCCUGUUGUUGGGGAAGAUAAUGACGGUACCCAACAAGGAAGUGACGGCUAACUACGUGCCAGCAGCCGCGGUAAAACGUAGGUCACAAGCGUUGUCCGGAAUUACUGGGUGUAAAGGGAGCGCAGGCGGGAAGACAAGUUGGAAGUGAAAUCUAUGGGCUCAACCCAUAAACUGCUUUCAAAACUGUUUUUCUUGAGUAGUGCAGAGGUAGGCGGAAUUCCCGGUGUAGCGGUGGAAUGCGUAGAUAUCGGGAGGA